UGCAGAUGAAUCUUAUUUUGUCCAGCAUGGAAAGUUUAGAGUAUAACACUUCUGCGACUGUUUUUGCUUUGAACGUUGUUUAUUCUUUCUCUCUUUUUUCCUUUUUUGGAGGGACGUCUAUUUCUUUUUACCACUUUCUCUUUUUUUGUUUUAAUUUUUUUUACUGGUACCAGUAGAAUAGCCGUAUGGUCCGCAGCUAAUGGACAACAGUUUGAUACUGAAGGUGUCUUGUAUUGUGCAUAGAUACUAC
rnacentral:lncRNA from 1 species